UCCUUGGGUAUAAUAAACCUGGUGUUGUUAGACCUAAGACUCCAGUACAUCCUUCCAGAUGGCAGCAGAGAGAAGAGAGCUUGACCUGGAUGGUUGGGAGGCGGUGGUGGAUCUUUGAAGAUGGAUGUGGCAGCACCUUCUCAAGGCCUUCAUUAUCCCUUGCCUCUCACAAUUUCAAGGACAUUGGAAGGAUAGGGUGGUGCUUACAUUAUGGUCAUAAUGGAGAGAAGAGUCUUGAUAUGGAAUGACGUUACAGAUAGCCUGGUACAUUCUAUCCUCAUCAAGAUUUCACAGGUACAUGGUUGACAGCUGGCUGACGAUAUUUUUGGUUUGCUGCUGGCGGCAAAUUUAAGUUUGGCGUUUUUCAUAAAUACAAGAAGGACUCAAAUAGACGUUGAGUAUUUUACUUCAAAGUAACCUUCAACCCAACGUCUUUUUUUCGGAGUUCAAAAUGUUUUUGUUGCAUGCAGAAAUGUAAUUUCGUUUUCUCUGCAGGAGUUCAUCAAUUUCAUAAAUUCAACACAUUAUAGUUUGUUUAUACAUAGCAUAAAGGCAAAACAAAACGUUGUAUGCAGUGUUAUUUCAUUUUAAAUGUCAAACGGGUUUUGCGGCUCCCAGUGUUUUCUUUUCUGUGGGAAACGGGUCCAAGUGGCUCUUUCAGUGGUAAACGUUGCUGACCCCUGGGGUAGUGGAUUGAGAGGUGGCAGAGUGAGAGGAUAGUAGAAUGAGAGGGCUUUGGCUCAACGGGCUUAGGCGGUAAUGAGUUGAGGUAGGUUUACCUGUGUUAGUUGCAGAAAGGAAGUAUGUGUGUGAAGCUAGUGUUCUGUGCUCAGUGUCAGAUGUGGGAGGUCUUGGAGUCUCCCAGCCUCCCAGACGGCCAUAUCUGCAUUCGGUGUGUUGAGCUGCAGCUCCUAAGGGAAUGUGUUACGGAUCUGGAGUUGCAGCACAAAGACCUUCAUCUGGUCAGGGAGAGUGAGGAGGUGAUAGAAAGUAGUUAUU